UUUAUACUCUCUCCGUAUGAAAAUACUUGUUCUAGAAAUGAAUAAAAUAGAUGUGUCUAUAACUAAAAUAAGUCUAGAUACAUCCAUUUCUAAGACAAGUAUUUCCGAACGAAGGGAGUAGGUU
rfam:Triticum aestivum genome assembly, contig: Triticum_aestivum_CS42_TGACv1_scaffold_093478_2AL